rnacentral:rRNA from 1 species
GACGAACGCUGGCGGCGUGCUUAACACAUGCAAGUCGAACGGAAAGGCCCUGCUUUUGUGGGGUGCUCGAGUGGCGAACGGGUGAGUAACACGUGAGUAACCUGCCCUUGACUUUGGGAUAACUUCAGGAAACUGGGGCUAAUACCGGAUGGGAGCUCCUGCUGCACGGUGGGGGUUGGAAAGUUUCGGCGGUUGGGGCUGGACUCGCGGCUUAUCAGCUUGUUGGUGGGGUAGUGGCUUACCAAGGCUUUGACGGGUAGCCGGCCUGAGAGGGUGACCGGCCACAUUGGGACUGCGAUACGGCCCAGACUCCUACGGGAGGCAGCAGGGGGAAACAUUGCACAAUGGGCGGAAGCCUGAUGCAGAAACGCCGCGUGCGGGAUGACGGCCUUCGGGUUGUAAACCGCUUUCGCCUGUAACGAAGCGUGAGUGACGGUAAUUGGUAAAGAAGCACCGGCUAACUACGUG